GCGGAGUCAUGCCACUUUCCUGUGAGGCCGCUGGAAUCUGGGAGGGUUGGAGCGGAGCUGGGACGCCGUUCGUGGUGGGGUUUUUAAACGUUCGAGACAGUUAAAGGAAGAACGGGCACUGUGACCUUUGAGGAUUGGAUUUCUAUUUCUCCUCAAGAAUGGGAUCUCCUUGAUGAGGUUCAAAGAUGCUUGUACCCUGAUGUGAUGGUGGGAAAAUUGGCACUUAUACUUCUCUGGGUAAAGUCUUUACACCUGCUUCUGUGCUCUGAGGUAGCCUCUGCCCUUCCCUUCCUCCUCAGCAGCAUAUCAGGACUAUAGGCUCAACUUCCUCCCCAGUUCCCUUGGUAGGUGCUUUGAUUUCAGGGCUGCAGUGUGAACACUGCUCUUUUCUUGGACAACCCCAGCUUCUGUGAAGCCCAUGCCUGGCUGUAGAGGAUGCAGGUUGAGGGGGCUUGCAGUCACCCUAAUGGGUCCCCCUUACUUCCCUCUUGCUGACAGUGGCCUUCCCAUAUCCAGUGCCCCAUGUCUUCUAGGUACUGCUUCCCAUUUAUAACUAACAUCUCCUCACCCUGCCUGUGCAGCACUGCUGGUACCUAGGUGCUGGCUCCUCAGUAGACCAUGAGCUGUUCUUUCAGCAUCCUCCCUGAAGUUCUUUUGUGAUGAUGUUUUCCUUUCCUGCAGGCUGCUAUGUGCUGAACUAUGCUGGCUGGUGUCCCCUUGCCUCUCCUGUUUUUCUCUUACUACCUGCAUCAUCUGGAUGCAGUGUGAUUUUUUUUUUUAAUCCUGUGGUGGUUGGUGGUGUGGAAUAGAGGACGAGGAGGCAACUUCUGAGCAGAGUGUUUCUGUAAGAGGAAGUGUCACAGAUUAUGACUCCCAAGUCAGUUCUAUCUCUCCAAGAGACCAACCUCUGUGAGAUGUGUGGCCUUAUCUUAAAAGACAUCCUUCACUUGGCUGAGCAUAAGGAAGCACACCACAAGCAGAAAAUGUGCAUGUGUUGAGCAUGUGAGAAACAAUUCUAUUUCAGUACAAAUUUUCAGCACAAGAAUCAGCAUAUUGAAGAGAAGCCAUUCAGAAGUGAUAUGGGCAGAACCUCAUUUGUGAAGAACUGUAAAUUCCAUGAACCAGGAAGGCCUUUAUACACAGGGAGGUUGGAAGUGAUUUCCUGACCAGCUUGGAAUUUCUCCAUCAACAGUCUUCUUCCUGUGGAAAAGUCAAAUAGCAAAACCAAGUAUGGUGCUGCCUCUCGCAGGAGAAAGCUCAUUGUAACUGGGAAGAAUGUGAUGAAGUGUUCAUCCCCAAACACACACUUACUUGUUCAGCA